AACUCGUCCGCAUAACUAGCGAAUGGCUCAUUAAAUCAGUUAUCGUUUAUUUGAUAAUACCUUACUACUUGGAUAACCGUGGUAAUUCUAGAGCUAAUACAUGCUGAAAAUCCCGACUUCGGAAGGGAUGUGUUUAUUAGAUAAAAAACCAAUGCCCUUCGGGGCUUUUUGGUGAUUCAUGAUAACUUUACGGAUCGCAUAGCCUUGCGCUGGCGACGGUUCAUUCAAAUUUCUGCCCUAUCAACUUUCGAUGGUAAGGUAUUGGCUUACCAUGGUUUCAACGGGUAACGGGGAAUUAGGGUUCGAUUCCGGAGAGGGAGCCUGAGAAACGGCUACCACAUCCAAGGAAGGCAGCAGGCGCGCAAAUUACCCAAUCCCGACACGGGGAGGUAGUGACAAUAAAUACUGAUACAGGGCUCUUUUGGGUCUUGUAAUUGGAAUGAGUACAAUUUAAACCUCUUAACGAGGAACAAUUGGAGGGCAAGUCUGGUGCCAGCAGCCGCGGUAAUUCCAGCUCCAAUAGCGUAUAUUAAAGUUGUUGCAGUUAAAAAGCUCGUAGUUGAAACUUGGGCCUGGCUGGCGGGUCCGCCUCACCGCGUGCACUCGUCCGGCCGGGCCUUCCUUCUGAAGAACCUCAUGCCCUUCACUGGGCGUGCUGGGGAAUCAGGACUUUUACUUUGAAAAAAUUAGAGUGUUCAAAGCAGGCCUUUGCUCGAAUACGUUAGCAUGGAAUAAUAAAAUAGGGCGUGCGUUUCUAUUUUGUUGGUUUCUAAAGACGCCACAAUGAUUAACAAGAACAAUCAGGGGCAUCAGUAUUCAGUUGUCAGACGUGAAAUUCUUGGAUUUACUGAAGACUAACUACUGCGAAAGCAUUUGCCAAAGAUGUUUUCAUUAAUCAAUGAACGAAA
rnacentral:rRNA from 1 species